AGCGAAGGAUUCAGGACGGAUAAAGGAAAGUCCUUCUUCAUGCAGCAUUCAAAAACCAAAACACUCACUUCCGGUUUUUGAUCGUUUGGGAGCCAGAACGUUCGACUCCCAAGGCGUUCGGGAGCCGAGGUACGACUGUAAUGAUAAUUGCAUCCUGCCCCAUAUGUCUAUGUCUUUAUUGAUUUCUUUCCAUGUUCUCCCGUAGUUAUCUUUAUAGAUGUUACGAUUAUUUACUGAUAGCCACACUCCUAAGUACUUCACAUUCUUCUAUAUUUUCCAGCCAGUAAUUUCCCUUAAUUUGUUUUUGGCUUGAUUAUCCAUAUUCUUAACUGACAUUUUGGUUUUAUCUUUAUAUAUUUUUCUGUGUUUUCAUUGUCCAUCAUUUCCCCACUUCUCAUUUAAAAAUGUGCAUAGGGAGUCAGGGGGUCGUUGUGUCUUUGAAUUCUGUGUAGUGCCCACUUCAAUCAGCAGAAUUAGCACCACUAAUUAGUGCCACAUCAGACCCGUUUCCCAUUUGUAAGGACUCCAUCGUUGAGUGUGGCAACGCUUUGGAGCCCCUGCCUACUGAGAUCAAACAGGCACCUUCACCGUCCUCUUUUCGGCGCCUGCUAAAAGCGUUCCUGAUUAGACAAGCCUACCCAGGUGCACAGAAAGUUGAGGUAAUUUUAAUUAUUUUGGUAUGUUAACUUUUGUAUCUUUUCAAGUAUAUGUGCGAAUUUUUAUUGACUUUACUGUUUUAUCUCUUGUGAACCACUUUGAGGGUGUGUUUUUUUAUAAUCAAGUGGUGUAUAAAUUUUAUUAAAUAAAUACAUAGGGUGGAGCAAGGGCUGCAGGUGCAUAUGCAGCCUGGCUCAUUGCUGUACAGCACUUGGAAUUAUAUUAAUUAAACAAUUCAGUUGCUGGAAUGAUGCUAAUAAAAUUGCAAGUGUUAUUUCUGACAGUGCUGAUUGGGAGAAAGGCAAGGGAAGGUGUGAAUGGCUCCUGGCCUUUAUUGACCUCAAGCAGCUGCUGCAACACUAAGCAAGUUGCAUUACGAUGCAUUCAUAAGAGGGUCUGCCGCGCAAUAGAAUGAGUAGCAUGAUCUUUUUUCUAUACUUGGUUCUUUAAGUCCUCCCAAUGGGCCUGCUUAAUGGACCCCUUUAUCUCCUAGAACUGAUCUGGAAAAGGUAAAGAAAGGCAAAUAGCAAUAUAUACCUGGUAUGGAGCAGAAGAAGCAGCCCAGGUCCCUGGGGGCGAAGGAAGAGGCCCAGGAGCAGGAGACGGGUUUGUGAUCCACUCAGUUAGAAGCAAAGCUAGCAUACAAUUAUGAAUUAGCUUUUCUGGUCUUAAAGCAUUUAAGCCUCUGCUACCUUUUCACGGUGUUUCCGUGCGCUGCUCUGGUUCGCCAGAAGCGGCUUAGUCCUGCUGGCCACAUGACCCGGAAGCUGUACGCCGGCUCCCUCGGCCAAUAAAGCGAGAUGAGCGCCGCAACCCCAGAGUCGUCCACAACUGGACCUAAUGGUCAGGGGUCCCUUUACCUUACCUUUUCACUGGGUCUUAGAUUCUAUUACUUUAUUCCAAGAUAUUGUCUACAUUCACAGUCUCUAUCAGUUCUUGAUCCUGAGUCAUCAUCAAUAAAUAUAAAGUAACUACUUGUGCUGAUUUCUGAGGCUUGCAUUGCUAACCUACACAUGUUUUUAAGGAAUGAGAUCCCACUGAGAUGAAUAGGUCUAUAUGUGUAUUUCUAUGUGUGUGUGAUUAUACCACUUUAUUCUAGGGAAGCCUAUGCAUUUUACUUUUCUGAAGAGGGCCUUGGGGAUCUCCAGUGGGAAUUUGCAGCACCCCAUCAAAAUGCAGCUGGCACUAUCAUUGUUUUGGGCACCAGGCUCAGGGAUUUUAGCUACUCAGGCCUUUGGUAGUUAAAUUGACCUCUGCUGUGGUGUUCCUACUUAAAUGGGGUGGGGUAGGAUUUGUCUUUCUUAUUGUGGCAUUGGAUGAACAUUUUAGGAAUCUUGUAUUGUACAUUGCUUUGAUUGAUUUUAUGUGUCUGUAUUCUAUCUUUUUUGUACAAAGCCAUUAACAAAUGUAAACAAUAACACUGCAGGGAAGAGCCAUUAUGGUGCCCCUGGCCCGAUGUUUUUGAGUCAGGGAUUAUGCGAGUUGUAAGCCAACAACCUCUGGAGGGUAACACAUUGACUAUCCUUGAUGUAAUGGCUCCAUACAAUUCAGUGAAAAUAAUUUAAAUCACCUUUGAAUUAUUUUGCCCUGCUCGCAGUGUGGAACAUACAUUCUGGCGUCUUCAUUUAACCUGUUAUGAAUGCUGGAUUUCCCUCUUUUUCCAUAGGGAGGACAGCUGCAGGCAACAGGCAAAGGCUGUCAGGCUUACACGACGGAGAUGCAAGUGAAUUCAGAGCCUGCAAACGAUGCCUGCAACUUCAGAGAAGAUAAUUUCAGCGAUUCCAGGUGUAUUUCUAAUGGGAUGGAUGAUAAUAAAUCCAGCCCCCUGCUAGAAGCAGAGUGAGACUAUUUGCCUCCCUCAGGUCUGGUGCGCUUUCAGAGAGGGCGCUUCUCCCUCUGGCACCACACUGUGAACAAGUGGAAAGUUCUUUGGCAGCACCUUUAGAAGAGUUAACCUACGGCUGACAGCGGGAGUUAGUCGCUCCUGGUGUCUACAUUCUUGCUGGUUCUAGCUACAAUCUGCAUUAUGAAGGUAAGAGUCUUGUGCUCCAGAUUUCUGAGCUUCAAAGAAUCUUCAGGGUCCAAGUGAGGAAGAGGAGACUUUCAUCAUCUGAAAUAUACUCAGAGUCGCAAAGUGAUUUCAUGCUCUUUAUUCAGCUCAUAGUAGUGAGGAGGAAUGAAUGAAAGUCCCCUCAAAGUAUCUGCUUUAUAUACAUUAUUAACACAAUGGGCUGCACAUGAUGGGCUAAUUCCGGAAUUCUACUGUAAGCCAAUCAGGUUGUGGAUUCGCUUCUAUCUGGAGAAUGAUUGGGUGGUUCCUGCCAACCAAUCAUACUGCUGCAUUGUUCUAGGACCAAUCAGACUGCUGCAUUCUGAAUCCUAUUGUUCUAGGACCAAUCAGACUGCUGAGGUUUGGAUCCUAUUCAACUCAGUACAUAACAUCAUCCUUGUUGGCUCAUGUCUUGAUGAGAACCUGCUACCCCAGCAAGGCAAAGCCUUGCCUUUCCAGUCCAAGAAGUGUGGCAAAUCUUUCCAAAAUCUCACUAGGAAUCGGGACCCCAGGGAGCUACAGGCAAUUUGGAAUUCACACUCAUGUCCCCUUUGUGGCAAAAAGUUUUUCCGUGUGGCUAACUUGCAAGGUCAGAAGGUCAGCGGUUCAAAUCCCCGCGAUGGGGUGAGCUCCCAUUGCUCGGUCCCUGCUCCUGCCAACCUAGCAGUUUGAAAGCACCUCAAAGUGCAAGUAGAUAAAUAGGUACCACUCUGGUGGGAAGAUAAAUGGCGUUUCCAUGUACUGCUCUGGUUCACCAGAAGCGGCUUAGUCAUGCUGGCCACAUGACCCGGAAGCUGUACGCUGGCUCCCUCGGCCAAUAAAGUGAGAUGAGUGCCGCAACCUGAGGUCACGACUGGACCUAAUGGUCAGGGGUCCCUUUACUUUUAAACUUGCAAGUGCAUAGAUUGACCCAUUCCACAGAGAGGCCACAAAAGUGCCCAGUAUGCAAUAAAGGCUUCCUCUGCACUGCUGAUGUUUGGCGGCAUUUCUACAGCUUGCACAAGAUCAAGCGCUCCAGUGUUGUUUUGGGAAGUGCUGAUACAAGGAAUCAGUGGUCUGGAUAGUAGCUGGCAUCCUGAGCAGGCAGGCUAUGCUGCCAAAGGCCCUGGAUACUGGGGGGAAACCCUAUUCUUGCCCCUACUGCAGCCUGUCCUUUGCAGAAUCGGAAACUUUGAAGAGGCAUGAACGGAUUCAUCAAGUUGUCCAAACAAAGCAUUCAUCAUGCUGAGUUUAUCACUGUUUUAACUGCCUACAGCACGGGUAGGCAAACUAAGGCCCGGGGGCCGGAUCUGGCCCAAUCGCCUUCUCAAUCCAGCUCACAGACGGUCCGGGAAUCAGCGUGUUUUUACAGGAGUAGAAUGUGUGCUUUUAUUUAAAAUGCAUCUCUGGGUUAUUUGUGGUGCAUGGGAAUUCGUUCACCCCCCCAAAAAAAUAGUCUGGCACCCCACAAGGUCUGAGGGACAGUGGACCGGCCCCCUACUGAAAAAGUCUGCUGACCCCUGGCCUAGAGAUCUGGAGCUCUAAUCUGGAAGAAUAUGAAAAUGGUAUUGGUAUUGUCAGUCAAGUAUAAUUCCAAGUUUGCUAGGAAUUGAAAAUGCUGGUUUUACUGGUUUUUUCAUUGCUCCCCUCUCCAGCUGUGGCACCUACCCCCACCCAAUAUGUUUUUAUAUUGUUGUAAGCUGCUGUGAUAUGCUUUUACAAUACAGUGUGUGCACGUUCUCUCUCUCUCUCUCUCUCUCUCUCUCUCUCUCUCUCUCUCUGUGUAAUAAAGGGAUGCCACGGCAUAUAGAAAGA